UACGAAGGGGGCAAGCGUUGUUCGGAAUUACUGGGCGUAAAGGGCGCGUAGGCGGCUUAUCAAGUCAGGCGUGAAAUUCCCGGGCUCAACCUGGGGGCUGCGCUUGAUACUGAUGAGCUUGAAUGCGGGAGAGGAUAGUGGAAUUCCCAGUGUAGAGGUGAAAUUCGUAGAUAUUCGCAAGAACACCAGUGGCGAAGGCGGCUGACUGGUCCGGUUCUGACGCUGAGGCGCGAAAGCGUGGGGAGCAAACAGG
rnacentral:rRNA from 1 species